UACUAUAGUAACCACUCACCUCCUGAUAUCCACUAUCCGAAUAGGAAUUCAUUUGAGUCGAGCUGCGUGAGUUUGCCGCAGACCCUGAGCAAAGGACACAGCAAGAAAAAGGCAAACCAGAAAAAUACUGAGACAGGCAAAAGGGAGAUCUGUUCCAAUUCAGGGGAGUAAAGUGGCCCCUGACCUCUGACCCCAAAUGUGGGCGAGGGGCAACCAUCCGACGGCUUAGACACACCUGCACCUGAGGAUUCUGAUUACCAAAGGGUUAACACACAUUGACAAAGGAAAAUAGCAAGCAUGAAGAGCAAUAGACAACAAUACCUGCAGAUCUCCACAGAAGAGACUUCUCAGAGGAGCUGGGGAAAAAUGAAGACAUGAGAAAAGAUGAAAUGAGAGGAGGACAAAGACAAUCACAGUAGUGCACAACGUACCUGGGGCAUUUUAUGAAAUGAGUGCCUUUUUCUGUUUGGCUACUAGUGUAUCUACAGAGGUGGCAGCCAAUGAGUGUGAGGUUCUCUUUGAUGUUCACUGAAACACCACGGAUCACGUCAUUUCAACAUGGAAAAAUACAGUGAGGUGGGCGAACUGUACCAUACAUAAUUAAACACUUUUUAUAGAAAACUAUAAUAAGUACAGUACAGUCUCCAUCUCAUGUGAUUGUACACCAUUCAGAUUACUCUUCACAAAAACACAAUUUAUUUCUUAAAGUGUUAAACUUUUUAAAUUGACACCAAACUACUGAAUGCAUCUUUAACUUAUUCUUGUAGAUUUAAAGAUAGUUAAAUUAAAAGAUAGGAUAGUUCACCCAAAAAUGAAAAUUAUCCCAUGAUUUACUCACCCUCAAGCCAUCCUAAGUGUAUUUGACUAUCUUCUUUCAGACAAACACAAUUGGAGAUAUAUUUAUAAAAUAUCCUGGCUCUUCCAAGCUUUGUAUGGUAAUGUAUGGUGCUCACAAUUUUGAAGCCCAAAAAAGUGCAUCCAUCCAUCAUAAGAAUAAUCCAUACGGCUCCAUAUCCAUAUUUUCCAUAUUUUUGCAAGAAAAAUAUCCAUAUUUAAAACUUUAUUAACUAUAAUAACUAGCUUUCGGCCGUACUCAUCGAUUUGCGUCGGAAGAGUGACCUCUGACCCGAUGCAUGAUGUAAUGACGAAUGCAGAAGCGUAGAGGAUAGAGCAAAACAAAACACUGGACAUGAAUUUUUAAAGAGAAAUGUCGGAGGAUUUCGAUAUAAAAGAAGAGGAGCUUGAGUUUGUUGGCCAGCCCUAUGUGUUUAAACCGUGAGAGGCAUCCAAGCUGAUACUCCUACAUAAUACAUCGUGCCAUGAUAUUUUUAAAUAUACCUCCGAUUGUGUUCGUCUGAAAGAAGAUAGUCAUAUACACUUAAGAUGGCUUGAGGGGGAGUAAAUCAUGGGAUAAUUUUCAUUUUUGGGUGAACUAUCCCUUUAAAUAAGUAAACUUUUUGUUUGUUGCUUUAAAGUGCUCGUAUUAUGCUUUUUUGGAUAUUACCUUUCCUUUUAUGUAGUGUAUAAUAUUGCCGUCUGUGAAUGUAAAUGGUUUUAAAGAUCAAAGUGCACGAUAAAUGGAGGUAUUGUAUCACUCAAGUACUGAGGAAGCCUCCGUAGCUGAAAUUCAGAAAUGGUAAUGGGCGUUUUGUCCCGCUCUAAGAACAAUCACAACAGACUGGGCCAUCUGACCAAUGAGAGCAGAGCAGCCUCUCGAAAAGGAGGGGUUUAGAGAGACUGGAUCCUUUAACAAACCAUUUCAGACACUGCGAGAAAAGAGGUGAUGAAAGUGUUUUUGACCUUGGAUGCACUUAAUAAUAGGGGCACUUGAAAAAAUUAGAAACAUGGAAACACGGUUGACAUAGAGGACACAGCCUCUUUUUUAAAUAAUACAUUUAACUAAAAUCUACAAAUGUGCAUUAUAUAAAGAAAGUAAAGACAACAAACUAGCUUUUAUUUUCAUGCAUAUGGCAUUUGGCCAAAAAGGCAUCCUCAUGGCAAAAAACCAUAAAACAUUAUUUUUAAAAAUGCUGUUAUUCUGUUGGCAUUAGCUAUUUAUAUUUAUAGUUAUUUUUCACACUUAUGCUUAUGAGAAACACAAAUGGCAUCCGUUUUGUAGAAUGACCCAUCUCAUCUUCCAACAAGUAAAUGAAAAGCAAAAAGAUCCGCUCCAUUUGCUUGGCAUUAGGAAACCAAUACCAGUGAACAUCAAUCACAUUAUUAGUCUACUGACUGUCACGUUCAUCUCUCUGACAGAAAUUUUAAAAUCCAGUCGGGUUAAACACAAGAAAUGUUCCUACUUGUGCAUUUGUAGGAACUGAAAAAGAGAGAGAAUGGCAGGAUUUAGAAUAUUAGAAGUUCAGGCUGAAUAAACGUCAGAAUGUAGACGCCACUGUCUUAAAGCAGCAGACGAGUGUCUACUAAUGCCUGCCAAAAUGUGUAACUGUCUGUAGAGGAGGGGUCAAAGGACACCGGUCAUCAGGGUACAGUGACAGCUGAAGGGGGACAGCAGGAAUGCCACAUAGAGAAAGGUUAAAGGUACUGGGUUGCAGGGGGCAUGGUAGCAAGAGUGCACACAUGGACCUUCUUCGAGCAAAAGGAAAAAAUGUCCUGUAUACUGCGGCAAAACAGCACAAGCCAUCUGAAAAAACAGAACAGCAGACACUCCUUCGCAGAUGAGGAGAACAAACAAGGCAGCUGACAUGUGCUUGCACACAUACAGUCACAAAGAGUUCAAUGUGGCAAAGCAAGGGAUGAGUAAGAACUACUGCAGUUUGACCAGAUUGUAAAUAAAUCUUCCUUAAGUGAUGGCUGUACCAAACGACUCUGAUUUAUCGGGAGCACUCUUUCCAUGACAGUCAUUAAACGAGAAACUUUCACAAUACCCCUAAAGCUUGAAUGUGUUUAGUGUAAAUUGACAAACACCCACUUUCCAUAAAAGUAAUUAUUCAGUGUGGAAAGAGAGAUGACAGUUUGUGCAUCACUGCACACUUGUCCUUCAUACUGUCACACACCAUGAGAAAUACAGAGCAGUGAGUGCUGUGUUCCUGUAUAGUACAGUAUGUACGCAGACUACAUAUACUGUGCAGUUUAAUGUGUUUUACACGUGUCGGCAGGGGCGUAAGAGCGAUCCAUUAAGUGGGGGGUGGAGGGAGGGGGCUUAAAUGCGUGGUUGCUACGGAUACACUCAUAUGAGAUACAUUUGAAAGCUUAAAACAUCAGAAAUUUAAUAAUUAAGCCUAAAACCUCCUUGUGACAAUUAUGUAAAAAUGCAUAUUCUGGUUGUUUAUGGCAUGAAUAAUAAUUCUCUUAAAGGAUUAGUUCACUUCAGAAUUAACAUUUCCUGAUAAUUUACUCACCCCCAUGUCAUCCA